CUGGAGCCUAAUAUUAAUAGGUUGGUUUUCUUUUGUUUCCAAGCUUUUAUCUCAAUUUUUAUUAAAAUCAAAAAUCAGUAUAUUACAUAGUCUCGUAGCUCAGUUGGUUAGAGCGCUACACUGAUAAUGUAGAGGUCCUCAGUUCAACUCUGAGCGGGACUACUAAAAACUAUUUUGGGGGGUUAGCUCAGUUGGCUAGAGCACCUGCCUUGCACGCAGGGGGUCAAGGGUUCGACUCCCUUAUUCUCCACUAGCUACCAAAACGGUAGGAAAGUUCUUUGACAUGUUGGAAAAAAUUUAGGAAAUAAAAUUAAAUUGUGUGUGCGAGCAUACAAUAG
rnacentral:tRNA from 1 species